GACGAACGCUGGCGGCGUGCUUAAUACAUGCAAGUAGAACGCUGAAGGAGGAGCUUGCUCUUCUGGAUGAGUUGCGAACGGGUGAGUAACGCGUAGGUAACCUGCCCGGUAGCGGGGGAUAACUAUUGGAAACGAUAGCUAAUACCGCAUAAGAGUAGAUGUUGCAUGACAUUUAUUUAAAAGGUGCAAUUGCAUCACUACCAGAUGGACCUGCGUUGCAUUAGCUAGUUGGUGGGGUAACGGCUUACCAAGGCGAGGAUACGUAGCCGACCUGAGAGGGGGGUCGGCCACACUGGGACUGAGACACGGCCCAGGCUCCUACGGGAGGCAGCAGUAGGGAAUCUUCGGCAAUGGGCGGAAGUCUGACCGAGCAACGCCGCGUGAGGGGAGAAGGUUGUCGGAUCGUAAAGCUCUGUUGUAAGGGAAGAACGAGUGUGAGAGUGGAAAGUUCACACUGUGACGGUAUCUUACCAGAAAGGGACGGCUAACUACGUG
rnacentral:rRNA from 1 species